AGGAGUGAAGCAAACAUUUCAGAAAUAGCCUCUUGGUGACCGUGUCCAGAGAAAGAUGACCAAAAUGAUGAAGGGUCUAGACACCAUGUCUUAUGAGGAGAAACUUAAGGAGCUGGACAUGUUUUGGAGCUGGAGAAGAGAAGGUUAAGAGGACGAAUUGAAGCACCUAGUUUGGGCUCUACAGGCUAAUGGUUACUCCAGUUCAGACAUCAGAAGGGCUGUCAGAAAAACCCACAGGAGUGAAGAUGAACAACCACCUAAAAGGAAGUUAUCUCCAAUGAGGCUAUCAUAUCAAGAAAGAAAAGAAAAGAAGUAAGAACCUAAGGAUGAGUCCAAUAUUCUGUUCUCAUAGUGGGUGGCCCGUGCCUGGAGAAGCCAACAAUCAGGAAACAGCAGCAUAAUACCAGAGGCAACAUCUCAAUCCUGCUUUACCAAGCAGCAGCUACUGCAAGCAACAGAGACCUGUUCUUCUGUUGACUGAGAUUAAACCGACUGACUUUUCCACACCUCUCCCAUGAACAAUCUUUGUUAUGACUAUUGGAAGCAGGAUCCCUCCCAAAAUUCCUCCUCAUACUGAAUUUCCCUCAUGAGACUGACAGAAGAUACCAUCACCCACAGUGACUGCUGUCUGGCAAAUCAGAACUGAAGGACUUUAACAAUCCCUGCAUUUUCCCUACACUAUUGAAAAGACAGGGAUCAUUAAUACGAAUCAGUUAUGAAUGUGUAACUCAACAUUACAUAUUCAUAACUGUGAUUGUGAA